GGAUAACGUUUGGAAACGAACGCUAAUACCGCAUGAUAUUAUCUUAUCGCAUGAUAGGAUGAUCAAAGGAGUGAUCCGCUGAAAGAUGGGCUCGCGUCCGAUUAGGUAGUUGGUGAGGUAACGGCCCACCAAGCCGACGAUCGGUAGCCGGACUGAGAGGUUGGACGGCCACAUUGGGACUGAGACACGGCCCAGACUCCUACGGGAGGCAGCAGUAAGGGAUAUUGGUCAAUGGGGGAAACCCUGAACCAGCAACGCCGCGUGAGGGAAGACGGUUUUCGGAUUGUAAACCUCUGUCCUCUGUGAAGAUGAUGACGGUAGCAGAGGAGGAAGCUCCGGCUAACUACGUGCCAGCAGCCGCGGUAAUACGUAGGGAGCGAGCGUUGUCCGGAUUUACUGGGUGUAAAGGGUGCGUAGGCGGCUAUGCAAGUCAGUAGUGAAAUCCAUGGGCUUAACCCAUGAACUGCUAUUGAAACUGCACAGCUUGAGUGAAGUAGAGGUAGGCGGAAUUCCCGGUGUAGCGGUGAAAUGCGUAGAGAUCGGGAGGAACACCAGUGGCGAAGGCGGCCUACUGGGCUUUAACUGACGCUGAGGCACGAAAGCGUGGGUAGCAAACAGGAUUAGAUACCCUGGUAGUCCACGCUGUAAACGAUGAUUACGAGGUGUGGGGGGACUGAACCCUUCCGUGCCGGA
rnacentral:rRNA from 1 species